rnacentral:rRNA from 1 species
AUUGAACGCUGGCGGCAGGCCUAACACAUGCAAGUCGAACGAGUGGCGGACGGGUGAGUCAUGUCUGGGAAACUGCCCGAUGGAGGGGGAUAACUACUGGAAACGGUAGCUAAUCCCGCAUACCAUCGGAUCUGCCCAGAUGGGCUUAGCUAGUCGGUGGGGUAAUGGCUCACCUAGGCGACGAUCCCUAGCUGGUGUGAGAGGAUGAACAGCCACACUGGAACGCAGACACGGUCCAGACUCCUACGUGAGGCAGCAGUGGGGAAUAUUGAACAAUGGGCGCAAGCCUGAUGCAGCCAUGCCGCGUGUGUGAAGAAGGCCGUCGGGUUGUAAAGUACUUUCAGUGAGGAGGCGUUACUCGCAGAAGAAGCACCGGCUAACUCCGUGCCAGCAGCCGCGGUAAUAC